rnacentral:rRNA from 1 species
AAUGCAGUCGAGCGGACAGAUGGGAGCUUGCUCCCUGAAGUCGGCGGCGGACGGGUGAAUAACACGUGGGGAACCUGACUGUAAGACUGGGAUAACUGCGGGAAACCGGGGCUAAUACCGGAUAAUUCUUUCCCUCACAUGAGGGAAAGCUGAAAGAGGGUUUCGGCUAUCACUUACAGAGGGGCCCGCGGCGCAUUAUCUAGUUGGUGAGGUAACGGCUCACCAAGGCAACGAUGCGUAACCGACCUGAGAGGGUGAUCGGCCACGCUGGGACUGAGACACGGCCCAGACUCCUACGGGAGGCAGCAGUAGGGAAUCUUCCGCAAUGGACGAAAGUCUGACGGAGCAACGCCGCGUGAGUGAUGAAGGUUUUCGGAUCGUAAAACUCUGUUGUUAGGGAAGAACAAGUACCGGAGUAACUGCCGGUACCUUGACGGUACCUAACCAGAAAGCCACGGCUAACUACGUGCCAGCAGCCGCGGUAAUACGUAGGUGGCAAGCGUUGUCCGGAAUUAUUGGGCGUAAAGCGCGCGCAGGCGGUUCCUUAAGUCUGAUGUGAAAGCCCCCGGCUCAACCGGGGAGGGUCAUUGGAAACUGGGGAACUUGACUGCAGAAGAGAAGAGUGGAAUUCCUCGUGUAGCGGUGAAAUGCGUAAAAAU